CCCUUAGAUGUUCUGGGCCGCACGCGCGCUACACUGAUGCAUUCAACGAGUUUCUUCCUGGUCCGAGAGGACUGGGUAAUCAUUUGAGUGUGCGUCGUGAUGGGGAUAGAAUAUUGUAAUUAUUACUCUUCAACGAGGAAUUCCUAGUAAGCGCAAGUCAGCAGCUUGCGCUGAUUACGUCCCUGCCCUUUGUACACACCGCCCGUCGCUCCUACCGAUGGGUGAUCCGGUGAAUGAUUCGGACUUCAGCGGCUCCUCUGGGGUGCGCCGGAGAAAGUUUUGUGAACCUUAUCACUUGGAGGAAGGAGAAGUCGUAACA
rnacentral:rRNA from 1 species